GCAAAUUCACAUAUUUUGUGGAAGUAAGAAUCAGUUAACUGUUGAGAACAAAAUUGUAAAUGUGCUUACCUUUUGGAACAGUGAUGACAUCUGACAGUGAAAUUUAACAUAGCCAAACUUGGAUCCCGACCACCCCUGGUCCAAAAGAUGGCAAGAGCUACAUGCCAACAGUCAGGAGGAAAAAAGAAUUUCAAGCUGCAAGUGCCGAUUCCAGUGCUUUGGAGACACGGCAAGAGUGCAAGUCAACACGAAGGAAUUAUUUUUACUACAGCAACUGUUCUCCUGAGACUCAUUCUUCCUGUAUUUAACCUUUCAUUCUUGGGGUUGGAAAGAAACACACAGGAAAACCCCAGCCUCCUAUGCUGAGUAAAUUCACAGCUAAAUCCGGGCACCAGCGCUGUCUUGAAACAACACAGCCAUCUUCCUGUAACUGAUUAUUUGCCGUGUAACUGAAGCAGCUCGUCCUCGCUCCUGAUUAAACGCACGCACUCCAAGAACCACAUAAUGAGGCCACGGCACCGUAAACACGACGUGUGGUUUCAGUGGGAAAUAAAUUGUAUCCAGCAGCUGAUGGGUAACCAUGGGCUAGGGUUGACUCUGAUCACAGGAAUCACUCCCAUAGUGAAGCCUCCUGGCCUCCUUACCCUUUGUGGGGAAAAAAAAAAAAUCACAAGGACAGUCUUACCACACACGAAAGCCUCUGGCGGCACGGCAAAGAUGCUCCGGCCCUUCAGUGACUCUGGGUGGGCACAGGUGGCUGUCACGAAGCCCUGCAGCGUCCUGCCCAGCAGCCACGGGGGCAGCCACUGCAGCUGGCAGUCGCACAGGAAGCUGUCGCUGCUGAUAUGGCUGAAAGCAAGACAAAAGGGGCGUGUGAAGUGUGACCGCAAAGAAGGGGUACUCGCCUCUGUGCCCGGAAUGACCCAUCGCCGCCGAUCAGCUUCUGCCGUGAAAGCCAGCAAGCUUGAACGGGAGAUGCUCUUUCUUACGGUUCCUCUCCUGCGACCUAGAGCGCAACUGAGGAUCAGCUUUUUCAACAGAAAUCGGAAUCGCCAUCUCAGCGGACAUUCCUUCCUGAGGAGUCACUUGAAGAUAAGUCAGCUGAGGGGUUGAGCUGCCGUGUUCCUGGAAGACCUCGGGCUGUGCGCUCAAGAGCGGAGGUUAGCCUGGCACGAGGAUGGACACAGGACUUAUGACAUGCGCUUCCCUGGAAUAAACUGUCCCCGGUACAUGGUGACAAAAAAGGGGUACCGGGAUGCUCAGAAAUUCCCAAAAUGUCACAUGGGCCAGUGUUAGAGCAAUGGCCUCCCCCCAUCCCCCACCAUAUUCCUCAGGCCCCUUUCUCGUUCUCUAUUUCACUCUGGCCUUCUAAUGAGCAGGGCAACCAUCAAACUAGUCAACAGCAAGGCAGAAUGAACCUGAAGGCAGAGAACCCAAGGCAGACGAAAUUACACAGAAUCUGCUCUUCGCUCCUGGUCCUCACUGUUCCCAAAUGAGCUGGGCAUUUUAACCAAAUAAUUUUGGGAAGUGCUCCUUCAAGACUGAAAUAAUUGAGCUCAAAGCCAUUAUAACUGGGAUGCUUGCCCACAUUAGACCUUACAAUCAGCCCUAGGUUUUGUAUUUGAUGGGCGGUAGGGCUGUGCUUAGCGAUACGUGCAGAGCGGCUCUGUUGAGGAGUCACUGUAGGUGGCGGACGGGCCCUCACAGCUGAGCGCGAAGAAAUGGCUGAAUCACACCCGCCUCUAGAGAGCUUCCCAGGGCAGGCUGUGUGUGGUGGUCGGGAAGGCUGCCGCCAGGCACAGGAGAACUCACGAGCCCAGGCGAAGAGUGGAAAGGGCCUCUCCCCCCGUCAGAAGCACCUACGGCUUCCCAUCAAGGGGCAUCUGAUGUGCCUGCCCCUUUCCGCAGGAAGGCCUGGGCACUACACACGGAAGUCUAGGGGAGGACACUGGCCACUGGGGAGACUUCAGGCCCUUAUGUCGGGGACAGGGACAUAUUUCAUUUGAACCACAGGAACAAACUGGAGAAAACAAAUUUGACGUUUAUCCUUGAUCAGAAAUGUGUUUGGGGGCUUCCCUGGUGGCGCAGUGGUUGAGACUCUGCCUGCCAAUGCAGGGGACACGGGUUCGACCCCUGGUCUGGGAGGAUCCCACAUGCCGCGGAGCAACUAGGCCCGUGAGCCACAAUUACUGAGCCCGCGCGUCUGGAGCCUGUGCCCCGCAACAAGAGAGGCCGCGAUAGUGAGAGGCCCGCGCACCGCGACGAAGAGUGGCCCCCGCUUGCCGCAACUAGAGGAAGCCCUCGCACAGAAUCGAAGACCCACCACAGCCAUAAAUAAAUAAAUAAAUAAUUAAAAAAAAAAAAAUCUGUGCUAAAAAAAAAAAAAAAAGAAAUGUGUUUGGAAAGGGUUAAGCCUCACACCGUGCAUUCAGGGCAUUUGCUGGCCGAGCUCCCUAGAGAAUUCCCUGCCUCCUCUGCAUGAAACCCUCCUCACACCGAGGGGUCCAGACCUCAGAAGACGGCAGGUACUUUGGGUGGACAGAAGGCUGUCCUAAAGAAUGAGUUAGGAUGAACGGGACGGAGGGAGAGAAAUGGAGGCACCCGGUGGGACACCGCCCUCCCCUCCACACGCACAAAUCGCCUCCGAGACCAAGCCUAGGCCAGACGGGGGAUCGUCGGUGAGCCCAGGACUCUGCAGCUUCCUGCAGCCAACAGGCACGGCCAUUCUGGGCCCCCGCCUGCAGCCAUCCCGGCACUCCGCUGGCUUAUAUCGCACAUUUUCAUGGUUCCAACGCCAAGUGUGUUUCUAAUCAUCGCUUGUGGAAAUUUACCCAGAGGAUGACUAAGUGCACAGCACAACCUGCCUUGAUCCAGUGGGGGAAGAAAAUGACCAAGUGGGAUUAACCGUUUCUCCCAUCAGAGGACUGGGCCCACGGCCAGCCCAAGCUGGGUACAUGCAGCGAUUGACGGGAAGCCUAGGCAGGGGGCCAAGGCUGAGCCUCCAGAACCACACAGAUGCAUUUGUGGGGGAGGGGAUCCGAGCACCUGGAAGGGCCCAGUUAGUCCCAACUAGAAAACUGUCUCAGGAAACCUGAGUCUUUAGGAGGCCCAAAGGAAAAUCUUCUCUCCCUGUCCUGCUCUCUUUCUCUCUCUUCCCUCUAACUGGAUCUUUUUCACUUCCAGCAUUUUAUUUGGAAAGUUUCAAAGACAGAAAUGCUGGAGGGAAAUGCACCGUGAACACCCACAGACUCACCACUUUGUAAAAUCUGAAUAUUUUGUGAUACCUGCUUUAUCACAUAUCUAUCCAUGUGUCCAUCCUUCCACAAACUCCCGUUCCAAGAUCAGGACCCUUAUGAGAAAGGGCACCAACUCGACAGACUUGAAUCUCGCAGGACACUAAAUGUCGUGAGGCCAGGGCCCGUCCACCUCGCCUCCCCUCACUCACCCAAGGGAAAGUCACCGGGGCCUCUUCCUGCUUUGGUUUCCAACUAUGGGGACCGCACCCCCCUACUGCCCCAUUCCUCCCCUCCCCGCUGCCACCGAGGGUCCACCAGGAUUGGCCGCAGGAACGAGGAUGAGCUCAGGGUGUAAAGACGGCCACUGGCAUGUCCGAUUUUCUCAGCACUUGUAGGAACCCAAAGCUGCACCUUUAGGGAACUAAACAUUAUGGCUCAAACUCAUUGGCUGCAGAAUCGGAUUCACGUACAGGAAGAAGAAAGGAAAUUUGGGUGUUGCUACCUGAAUACUUAGAUGAGCUCCUCUGCCAGAGACUAGGACACAGGCAAGCUCUUCUCACCCUCGUCGCCCACGGGCCCACACGGAAAGUCUGCAGCGGCAACAUCACGGCCUACAAAUGCCACGGGGGCCCUGGGAACACACGUGGGCUGGGCGCCUCCUCACUAUCCCAUGGUACGUGUCACCAUCCCACGGAGAGCUCUGCCCUGCUCACAGCCCACCCAGAUCUUUUAAGAAGCCCCUCUCAAUACAGGCCCUUCAUUGUAGGCACCCCUAAAAGAUGAAGCACUUGUCCUUGACAUAAUGAAAGGGAUGAUUAUCCAUUUUACAGAAGAGAGUUUGUUUCACAUCAUCCAGAGCAGCGGUUAGUCAACGACAGCCUGCAGGCCCACUGCCUGUUUUUGUAAAUAAGAAUUUAUUGGCACACGGCCACACCUAUUCGUUUACGUAUAAUUUAUGGCUGAUUUCUGCUACAAGAGUCAAGUUGUCAUGGCAGAGGCCCUGUGGCCCAAAAAGUUGAAAAUAUUUACUGUGGCCCUGUAAGAAAAAGUAUACUGACUCCUGAUUCAGAAUAAGCCCCCAGAGGGCAUUUUUUUCAAAAAGACAAUUGAACUUACAGACAACUAUAAACGAUCACAACUAUUAUAUAAAAUAAAGCAUAAUGCAAUUAAGGCACUUCUUACUCUGAAAUCCUCUACUCAUGUUAACUGGGGCCACGGAAUCCCGGGUACUUACAGCUCUUUAAGAUUCUUCAUCUUCACAAAGGCAUCAAACUGGACAGAUCUGAUUGCAUUCUCUCCAAGGUUCCUGAAAAAGAACAUUCUUUACUUAGGCAAAGAAACUCCAGGUGCCCUUCAAGUCAGCCACGUGUUUGAGCCACGACGCUCAGGGAUUUUUCCUGACAGCCCAGGCUUCGCCAACGAACCACAGGGACUAGCCAGACACCCGUGUCCUGUCCUAAGGCCACUGUAAGCGGCUGUUAUUUCACCUACAUUGACACAAGCCAAGUGGAAUAACUCCGGAACGAGCCAGCCUUAAGGGUGGCAUCAAAGCUAAGCCAAGGCCCGCUCAGCAAGUCAACAGGCAAAACUUUCCCAACAGAAUUGUGGUCGCACUUGAUUCAAAGACAAAAUACCCUAAGAAUCAAGUACUGGAGGCAGCCCCCCUCAGUUGGUGACACACGGACGUCUCAGGGCUGGCUCCGUCCUCUUCCUCCCGGGCUCUCAGAGGCGAACACACCAGGAGGAACGUCCCAGUUAAACCCAACGUGUACUCAGCACUGCUGCGCUGCUUUAGCAGUAUAAAGGGUCCUGGUGGAAGUGGAAGGGAGCCCAGGGCCCGAGCAGGCCCAGGCAAUGGGGAGGCCAGGCAGGAGGACGGUAUUUAUCUGAACACCGAGUGGCCAUUUGUUCUGUAACCGUUUCUGGCAUAGGCAAAACGAAGGCCAAAGUUGAAGCUGACUUAUAAUGAGAAGGAAGCAGCUGGCGUUUCCAAAUAGCCUGUUUCUCAGUUUACAAAGAUGCUUUUCAAUUGCUCGCAGACUUCCCCGGCAGCCGCGUUUGGCAGGCCUGUGCGUCAGGGAAGGUACUCACAGGUGCUCCAGACCUUCCAGCCCCGAGAACGCUCUCUUAGCCACGGACUUGAUCUUGUUUCCUGACAGAGUUCUGCAGUUUCCAA